rnacentral:rRNA from 1 species
CGCUGGCGGCAGGCCUAACACAUGCAAGUUGAGCGGUAGCACAGAGAGCUUGCUCUCGGGUGACGAGCGGCGGACGGGUGAGUAAUGUCUGGGAAACUGCCUGAUGGAGGGGGAUAACUACUGGAAACGGUAGCUAAUACCGCAUAACGUCGCAAGACCAAAGAGGGGGACCUUCGGGCCUCUUGCCAUCAGAUGUGCCCAGAUGGGAUUAGCUAGUAGGUGGGGUAACGGCUCACCUAGGCGACGAUCCCUAGCUGGUCUGAGAGGAUGACCAGCCACACUGGAACUGAGACACGGUCCAGACUCCUACGGGAGGCAGCAGUGGGGAAUAUUGCACAAUGGGCGCAAGCCUGAUGCAGCCAUGCCGCGUGUAUGAAGAAGGCCUUCGGGUUGUAAAGUACUUUCAGCGAGGAGGAAGGCAUUGUGGUUAAUAACCACAGUGAUUGACGUUACUCGCAGAAGAAGCACCGGCU